GGUGGACAUAGGCUCCGUAGUUUUGCGCAGCGCCCGGCAACUGGUACAAGGGGAGGCAUCCUACUUCUAUGGGAUGAUAUAUUAGUUGAAGCAUCCAACGUCACCAACACUGCGUAUUGCUUGUCCACCAUGAUCCGUGUAAGAGCGACCGACGUGGUCUUCAAGUUCACAUCUGUCUACGGCCCCACCGACCCCUCUUGCAAAGACGUGUUCUUUGCCGAGCUCCUCAGCCAGAAGCCGCCUUUGGGGGUGGCUUGGCUUGCCUCCGGAGACUUUAAUCAAAUUUAUCGGGCGAGAGACAAGAACAAGAGAAAUGUUCACCAUGGCAGGAUCAACCGUUUUCGGGCCACGCUCCAUAGUUGCGAGCUCAAAGAAAUCCAUCUCCAAAAUCGAAGGUUCACUUGGAGCAACGAGAGGGAAAACCCAACGCUAUGCAAGCUUGACUCUUUUUUCUGCAAUGCCGAGUGGGAUACAACCUUCAACACGCAUAUCCUCCAUGCACUUUCAUCAUCCCUCUCCGAUCAUUGUCCGCUUUUGCUUGCCGAUGACAAGGGCCCGCGGAGGCCACGAACUUUUAAAUUUGAAAACUUUUGGGCAUCCAUGCCCGGCUUCAACGAGGUGGUCCAAAUGGCGUGGAACGAACGGGUUAACCAUACCGAUCCCUAUCAAAUCAUCUUCCACAAGCUCAAAAAGACGGCGAUCCGCCUCUCCGAAUGGAGUAGGGGCCUUUUCUCCAAGGCUAAAAUCCAUCUCCAAUCCGCUCUUUUGGUGAUUCUUCGCCUCGACAUCGCCCAAGAGGAUAGGCCUCUCUCGCCCGAGGAGCGUGACCUACGGGCUAGGCUUAAGAGAAGGGUCAUUGCUUUGGCCGUGAUCGAGAGAUCGCGCAAGAAACAAUGUGCGCGAAUCUCCAACCUCAAAGAAGGUGACGCCAAUACUAAAUUCUUCCACCGCCGGGUUAAUGCUAGGAGGAGAAAAAAUCAUAUCCAUCGAAUCAAGAACGAGCAUGGUUGGGUCACCGAGCAUGAAGCCAAAGAGAAAUUAAUCCAAGACCACUUCUCCCAUGUUAUGAAGAAAGGAGCGAAAAGUUCAAAAGAUUUCAAUUGGGAGGAGCUCAAUAUGGAACUCCUUGACAUGCAUGGCCUUGACUCUCCAAUGACCGAAAUGGAGGUUCUUCAAGCAAUCAACGACAUGCCUAAUGACAAGGCCCCGGGUCCGGAUGGAUUCACGGGCCUAUUCUUCAAAAAGUGUUGGGGCACUGUCAAGCACGACCUCAUGAGGGCCAUUGCUCGUUUCGACUCCCUCCAGACUUCGAACCUCCACUGGCUCAACUCUGCGAAUGUGGUGCUCUUGCCAAAAAAGGAUGGGGCAGAGGGGAUUGCGGACUAUAGGCCUAUUAGUCUUAUC
rnacentral:rRNA from 1 species